rnacentral:rRNA from 1 species
UACGGGGGGGGCAAGCGUUGUUCGGAAUUACUGGGCGUAAAGGGUUCGUAGGUGGCUCGCUAAGUCAGACGUGAAAUCCCUCAGCUUAACUGGGGAACUGCGUCUGAGACUGAUGAGCUUGAGUGCAGGAGAGGAACGCGGAAUUCCAGGUGUGGCGGUGAAAUGCGUAGAUAUCUGGAGGAACACCGGUGGCGAAGGCGGCGUUCUGGACUGCAACUGACACUGAGGAACGAAAGCCAGGGGAGCAAACGGG